UUGAAGAAGAGCAUUGGAUGUUGAUAGUCAGUCGUAUGCGAGGCUAUCAAGUACAACACCACAGGAACAACUGUUAGGAACUUUCUGUUGCGUGUAAGCUGCUGUCCAUUAUCUAUCUGUUCCCACCAAGUUAGCCUAUUAUAUAUCCCCUGGUCUUCUGCAAAUGGUGUUCCCUUCUUCCAGUGGAAGAAGUGAUAAGUGAUACAGAAGUGGGCGAGAUUGACGAUGGUCCAGGCCAUGCCAGGAGAGCAGCC
rnacentral:misc_RNA from 1 species